CUGUGAUAGGCGGGGAGUUAGCGGUGCCCUGUAUCUGCAAUCCGCUAUAGCAGAGCCGAAUGCUUUUCUCGGUGCAGUACAUGGAAGGCUGCGCGGAGUAAGGAAUGUCGAUCGCAAGGUCUUAUGCAACGCAUCUCUGCGAACCGUGUCAGGGUAGGGAUACAGCAGCACUAAACAGCUCGGUGCGUGUGCCAUGAGGUAGCUUUGCGCUAGUUACCUGCUUCGUUUCCGCUUCGGUGUGCUGCAACAAAAAAAGCUUCACAG
rnacentral:SRP_RNA from 1 species